GGCAGCGGGAGGCCGGCUCCCGUGGCGCAAGCCAUGAGGAAAGUCCCCCCACCUGUCGGACAGGUGACCGGGCGCAAGUCCGGGGCGGGAGACCGUCGGCUCUGGAACAGCAACGACACGUCGUCGCCGGACCAAUGAGGUGUGCGAAUCCCGAGCGAGGCUGUGUACCGCACCAGACGGUGUGGCACGCCGCCAAAGCGAGGGAGAGUUAACCCACCGAGGGCAGUUGCGCCCGGUGACUCCGGGUGCGCGUUUGUGGACCACAUCCGUGCUCCACGCGUGGGCCGCUGACGCGCCCCACGCUUCCGGCGACGGACCGAUGGAACGGCGAAACCUCACCGGUGCAAGGCCGCGUCGACAGGUAGUCCGACACCGCGCGCAAGCGCUGGACGUGGCCGCUCAGCCGAAUGCUGGCCCGAACAGAAGGGGGCUUACUCCCCGCAGCC
rnacentral:RNase_P_RNA from 1 species